rnacentral:rRNA from 1 species
UACGGAGGGUGCAAGCGUUGUUCGGAUUUACUGGGCGUAAAGGGCGCGUAGGCGGUUGCGAAAGCUAAAGGUGAAAUCCCAGAGCUCAACUCUGGAACUGCUUUUAGAACUGCGUAACUAGAAUCAGAUAGAGGCAAGUGGAAUUCCUGGUGUAGAGGUGAAAUUCGUAGAUAUCAGGAGGAACACCGGCGGCGAAGGCGGCUUGCUGGAUCUGAAUUGACGCUGAGGCGCGAAAGCGUGGGGAGCAAAC